GACGAACGCUGGCGGCGUGCUUAACACAUGCAAGUCGAACGGAAAGGCCCUGCUUUUGUGGGGUGCUCGAGUGGCGAACGGGUGAGUAACACGUGAGUAACCUGCCCUUGACUUUGGGAUAACUUCAGGAAACUGGGGCUAAUACCGGAUAGGAGCUCCUGCUGCAUGGUGGGGGUUGGAAAGUUUCGGCGGUUGGGGCUGGACUCGCGGCUUAUCCGCUUGUUAGUGGGGUAGUGGCUUACCAAGGCUGUGACGGGUAGCCGGCCUGGGAGGGUGACCGGCCACAUUGGGACUGAGAUACGGCCCAGAAUCCUACGGGAGGCAGCAGGGGGAAAUAUUGCACAAUGGGCGGAAGCCUGAUGCAGCAACGCCGCGUGCGGGAUGACGGCCUUCGGGUUAUAAACCGCUUUCGCCUGUGACGAAGCGUGAGUGACGGUAAUGGGUAAAGAAGCACCGGCUAACUACGUG
rnacentral:rRNA from 1 species